rnacentral:rRNA from 1 species
CGAUGAAGCCCUUCGGGGUGGAUUAGUGGCGAACGGGUGAGUAACACGUGGGCAAUCUGCCCUUCACUCUGGGACAAGCCCUGGAAACGGGGUCUAAUACCGGAUACGACCUGCCGAGGCAUCUCGGCGGGUGGAAAGCUCCGGCGGUGAAGGAUGAGCCCGCGGCCUAUCAGCUUGUUGGUGGGGUAACGGCCCACCAAGGCGACGACGGGUAGCCGGCCUGAGAGGGCGACCGGCCACACUGGGACUGAGACACGGCCCAGACUCCUACGGGAGGCAGCAGUGGGGAAUAUUGCACAAUGGGCGCAAGCCUGAUGCAGCGACGCCGCGUGAGGGAUGACGGCCUUCGGGUUGUAAACCUCUUUCAGCAGGGAAGAAGCGCAAGUGACGGUACCUGCAGAAGAAGCGCCGGCUAACUACGUGCCAGCAGCCGCGGUAAUACGUAGGGCGCAAGCGUUGUCCGGAAUUAUUGGGCGUAAAGAGCUCGUAGGCGGCUUGUCACGUCGGGUGUGAAAGCCCGGGGCUUAACCCCGGGUCUGCAUCCGAUACGGGCAGGCUAGAGUGUGGUAGGGGAGAUCGGAAUUCCUGGUGUAGCGGUGAAAUGCGCAGAUAUCAGGAGGAACACCGGUGGCGAAGGCGGAUCUCUGGGCCAUUACUGACGCUGAGGAGCGAAAGCGUGGGGAGCGAACAGGAUUAGAUACCCUGGUAGUCCACGCCGUAAACGUUGGGAACUAGGUGUUGGCGACAUUCCACGUCGUC